CGAACACCGAUAUGCUUCGGGGAGCUGUAAGCAAGCUUUGAUCCGGAGAUUUCCGAAUGGGGAAACCCACCACUCGUAAUGGAGUGGUAUCCAUAUCUGAAUACAUAGGAUAUGAGAAGGCAGACCCGGGGAACUGAAACAUCUAAGUACCCGGAGGAAGAGAAAGCAAAUGCGAUUCCCUGAGUAGCGGCGAGCGAAACGGGAUCAGCCCAAACCAAGAGGCUUGCCUCUUGGGGUUGUAGGACACUCUGUACGGAGUUACAAAGGAACGAGGUAGAUGAAGAGGUCUGGAAAGGCCCGCCAUAGGAGGUAACAGCCCUGUAGGCAAAACUUCGUUCUCUCCUGAGUGGAUCCUGAGUACGGCGGAACACGUGAAAUUCCGUCGGAAUCCGGGAGGACCAUCUCCCAAGGCUAAAUACUCCCUAGUGACCGAUAGUGAACCAGUACCGUGAGGGAAAGGUGAAAAGCACCCCGGAAGGGGAGUGAAAGAGAUCCUGAAACCGUGUGCCUACAAGUAGUCAGAGCCCGUUAACGGGUGAUGGCGUGCCUU
rnacentral:rRNA from 1 species